GCAGCCGCGGUAAUACAUAGGGGGCAAGCGUUAUCCGGAAUUAUUGGGUGUAAAGGGUGCGUAGACGGGAAAAUAAGUUAGUUGUGAAAUCCCACGGCUCAACUGUGGAACUGCAACUAAAACUGUUUUUCUUGAGUAUCGGAGAGGAAAGUGGAAUUCCUAGUGUAGCGGUGAAAUGCGUAGAUAUUAGGAGGAACACCAGUGGCGAAGGCGACUUUCUGGACGAAAACUGACGUUGAGGCACGAAAGUGUGGGGAGCAAACAGGAUUAGAUACCCC
rnacentral:rRNA from 1 species